UCCACGGGUGUGUAACUCAGUGGUAGAGCGGCUGACUGCUAAUCAGCAGGUCCUCGGUACGAAUUCGCGUCCUGCGAAA
rnacentral:tRNA from 1 species